GAUGAACGCUAGCGGCAGGCUUAAUACAUGCAAGUCGUGGGGCAGCAUGAGUAGCAAUACUUGAUGGCGACCGGCAAACGGGUGCGGAACACGUACACAACCUUCCUUCAAGCGGGGAAUAGCCCAGAGAAAUUUGGAUUAAUACCCCAUAAAAUAUAAAAAUGGCAUCAUUAUAUAUUAAAGCUUCGGCACUUGAUGAUGGGUGUGCGGCUGAUUAGAUAGUUGGCGAGGUAACGGCUCACCAAGUCUACGAUCAGUAGCUGAUGUGAGAGCAUGAUCAGCCACACGGGCACUGAGACACGGGCCCGACUCCUACGGGAGGCAGCAGUAAGGAAUAUUGGACAAUGGACGAAAGUCUGAUCCAGCCAUGCCGCGUGAAGGAUUAAGGUCCUCUGGAUUGUAAACUUCUUUUAUAUGGGACGAAAAAAGAGAAUUCUUUCUCACUUGACGGUACCAUACGAAUCAGCACCGGCUAACUCCGUGCCAG
rnacentral:rRNA from 1 species